rnacentral:rRNA from 1 species
ACGGACAAAGGGCAGCANACUCGCAAGAGCUAGCAAAUCCCAUAAACCGUGGCUCAGUUCAGAUCGUAGGCUGCAACUCGCCUACGUGAAGUAGGAAUCGCUAGUAAUCGCAGGUCAGCAUACUGCGGUGAAUACGUUCCCGGGCCUUGUACACACCGCCCGUCACACCAUGGAAGUUGGCCAUGCCCGAAGUCGUUACUCCAACCCUUGUGGAGGAGGACGCCGAAGGUGGGGCUAAUGACUGGGGUGAAGUCGUAACAAGGUAGCCGUACCGGAAGGUGCGGCUGGAUCACCUCCUAA